AUCAAGCUUGCCGACAUCAGAGAAAUGUGCGGGCUUUAUCCAAUUGCUUGCCCUAGAUCUGCAAGUGGGCAUUAGGUAUGGUGGCGAAAUCCGCGGCGGCACUGGAGCGGUAGACCUGUUUUCUUGGAAAAUGUUGGGAUGUGAGUUUGGAAACUUAAAUAUAAAUUCAAUGCUUUUCUACGAAUAAGAAAAGAGAAGGAGAAGCAGUGUUGAUAAUCAGCAUUUCUGCAUGAAGGAAUUAGAGUUAGAAGAAGAUAUAAGUCGCUGAUAAAGUAGAUUGCUCAUCUCUAUGCAAGAAAGGCACCAGGAUGACGUGAGCAAGGCUUCUCCGAAAGAAAGAGAUCAAACAGAAACAGUAGCAGGCGAAGCGUCGAGCGACGACGAUGCUGAGCCAACUGAUGUGAGCAACCAUCACAGUUUGCCUCGACAGUCUUUUGGUGAUUGGGGAAAUGACCCACACCAGAAUGAGGAAAAGAGUAGCAAUGGAACCAAUGAUGAGAAGAAGAACUAGAGAAAGUUUUGAUAUGAGCAUUGAUUGCCAAAUCUAUAUAAUUUCAUGGUUGUUAAGAUUUAGCAUAUUAAAGCUUGUUUUAUGUGGCAGUCUUUAUUUGUUUGAGUGUUUUUUUGUCAAUUAAGCAUUUAGCUGUGUAUGGUUAGGAAGCAUCAGAGGUGAAGAGGGCACGAAGUAAUGUAAUUAACAUUUAAUUAUGCAUGUUUUAAAUGGUUUUCAUUGUC